UGCGAAGCUGGGGAGGUGACGUGUGGUCCCGUUCUGUUCUAUCCCGGCCCGGUCGAUGACGUCGGAUAUCUUUGUCCUCGGCGCUUCUUGGACUAACCUCUCCCCACCAACCCCUAAAUAAAAACGGUUUGGUCCCUA